rnacentral:rRNA from 1 species
UAUAAUUUAAAGUAGGGCCUGCCCACUGAUAUUUUGAAGGGCCGCAGUAUCUUAACUGUGCAAAGGUAGCAUAAUCAUUAGUUUUUUAAUUGAAAGCUGGUAUGAAUGGUUUGAUGAAAAAAUUACUGUUUCUAUAUUAUUUUUUUAAAAUUUUAUUUUUAAGUUAAAAAGCUUAAAUUUUUAUAAAAGACGAGAAGACCCUAUAGAGUUUUAUUUAUUUUUGUUUUAUAUUGUUAAGUAUAAAUAUAUUAUAAAAUAAAAAUAAAUUUGGUUGGGGUGAUUUAAAAAUUAAAUAAACUUUUUAUAUAUUUUUACAUUGAUUUAUG